AUACAUGCAAGUCGAGCGGACCGACGGGAGCUUGCUCCCUUAGGUCAGCGGCGGACGGGUGAGUAACACGUGGGUAACCUGCCUGUAAGACUGGGAUAACUCCGGGAAACCGGGGCUAAUACCGGAUGCUUGAUUGAACCGCAUGGUUCAAUCAUAAAAGGUGGCUUUCAGCUACCACUUACAGAUGGACCCGCGGCGCAAUAACUAGUUGGUGAGGUAACGGCUCACCAAGGCGACGAUGCGUAGCCGACCUGAGAGGGUGAUCGGCCACACUGGGACUGAGACACGGCCCAGACUCCUACGGGAGGCAGCAGUAGGGAAUCUUCCGCAAUGGACGAAAGUCUGACGGAGCAACGCCGCGUGAGUGAUGAAGGUUUUCGGAUCGUAAAACUCUGUUGUUAGGGAAGAACAAGUACCGUUCGAAUAGGGCGGUACCUUGACGGUACCUAACCAGAAAGCCACGGCUAACUACGUGCCAGCAGCCGCGGUAAUACGUAGGUGGCAAGCGUUGUCCGGAAUUAUUGGGCGUAAAGCGCGCGCAGGCGGUUUCUUAAGUCUGAUGUGAAAGCCCCCGGCUCAACCGGGGAGGGUCAUUGGAAACUGGGGAACUUGAGUGCAGAAGAGGAGAGUGGAAUUCCACGUGUAGCGGUGAAAUGCGUAGAGAUGUGGAGGAACACCAGUGGCGAAGGCGACUCUCUGGUCUGUAACUGACGCUGAGGCGCGAAAGCGUGGGGAGCGAACAGGAUUAGAUACCCUGGUAGUCCACGCCGUAACGAUGAGUGCUAAGUGUUAGAGGGUUCCGCCUUUAGUGCUGCAGCAACGCAUUAAGCACUCCGCCUGGGGAGUACGGUCGCAAGACUGAAACUCAAAGGAAUUGACGGGG
rnacentral:rRNA from 1 species